GAGGACCCUGAUGGACUAUAGUCCAUUAGAUUGCAGAGUCAGAGCCGACUGAGCAAUUAACACACAGCUUCAGAAGGCUAAUAGCCCCGGGGUGUGUCUCACCUUCUGAGGCAGAAUUUACCUGAGUUCUGUCUUUAUCUGUCUUAGCUCCUAGGGGCUGUAAUUCAGAGACUGCAAUUCCACAAAAGAAUCCUAAACCCAUGUGAAAUAACCCUGAAAUAUCUUGCCCUUUGGGACAGACUUGAGGGCAGGAUAAACAUAUGGCCCAGGUGAACACAUGAGAAUUGUAGAAAAAAAUAUCUGAAGCAACUAUAACAUAUUACUAAGUCUGGUUGGACUGCAGAGGCCAUUAACUGUGUCAAGAGCAGUCACAGAAACCUUAGGAAUAAAGCCUGUGCUAAAUUCAUGUGAACUGGAAAGGCAUAAAACAUGAAAACGAUUCAUGAUAGAAUGAUCAGAGAAAGGCAAUAGAAAUCACUUAUCUGCACUUCAGCAGGGCAUGGAACAAAGUCUCUAAUUCACUCAAUAAACAACUGUUGAAUACUCUGCAAA